CUCUCCCUCCUCCAACGAAGACGAAGGGCGUCCAUCUCUCUCUCUUUCUCCAGCAUGUCGCCAGCGCCUCCGCCUCCCUCGAGAGCCCUCGCCGGUCGCAGCUGCCGGGUCCCGAGCUCAGAGCUGCCUCCGGUACGUCGGCUCCCCCAAGAGCCCAGCCGGUUGCUGCUGCUGGGUCCCUAGCCCCCUCCGCCUCCGUCUCACCCCGUCCGCCGUCUCGUCCACCUUAAUUCACUCGAUCAACUGGUAAGGUUCGUCUCGAUGUGUGUGCGAUCUGGGUUUUGGCUUGAUUCUUCUGGAAUGGCGUCUAUUGACGCUGAGAAGUUAUGUGGACUCCUCUUUUUACUGUGAUCGCUUCAUGAAUCUAGCUGCAUUUUACUUUUUACUUUGUCGCCAUCUAGGUUUGUUUCGAUUCUCUUGUUCGCGCUUGAGUUUUGGAAAUGUGGUUGGAAGCUAGUGCUCGGAUGAGUUGAUGAUCAAUGUGAGAGCAACAUUGUAUGUCCAGUCUCUGCAAUUGCAUUUCGAGAAUCCUGUCGAGUUAUUCGUCCGUUCUCGCUGUCUGAGAGGAUUGAUUCGAAAUGGGUGCGAACGCCGGUGAAUUGGCUCCAAAGUGAAGGAUACUAUGGAGGAGUUCUUUCGCUUAUGGCCCUCUGUAAAGUAUUUCAGAGUUAUUGCAAGAAUAACAACAUCGGUCUUCAUGGAGGGUCUUUCUGUUUUUAUCUACUGAAGACAGGGCUUUCAGGUUCAAGUGCUAUAGUGUGCACUGCCUUAAGUUUCCUUCUUAGCUUUUAUAAUGUCGGGCAUUUGGGGAAGUGGAAGUUAGACCAAUUGUGCUUAAUGCUGAAAAGGAAUUAGGAAUUGUUGCUGGCCUCCAGGAUCAGGUUGCCCAGGUAUAUGGGGCCCUCGUUUACAUGGAUUUCAGCAAGGAAAACAUGGAGAAGUUGGGGCAUGGCGUCUAUAUUCCAAUGGACAUAUGUCUACUUCCUCCUUUAUAUCUCAUUUGUGCUGAAAAAUCCAAGUGAUUCCGGAACG